rnacentral:rRNA from 1 species
UACGUAGGGCGCAAGCGUUAUCCGGAAUUAUUGGGCGUAAAGAGCUCGUAGGCGGUUUGUCGCGUCUGCCGUGAAAGUCCGGGGCUCAACUCCGGAUCUGCGGUGGGUACGGGCAGACUAGAGUGAUGUAGGGGAGACUGGAAUUCCUGGUGUAGCGGUGAAAUGCGCAGAUAUCAGGAGGAACACCGAUGGCGAAGGCAGGUCUCUGGGCAUUACCUGACGCUCAGGUGCGAAAGCUAGGGGAGCGAACAGG